AUACGGAGGGUGCAAGCGUUAUUCGGAAUCACUGGGCGUAAAGGACGCGUAGGCGGGUUGGCAAGUCAGAUGUGAAAUCCUACAGCUUAACUGUAGAACUGCAUUUGAAACUGCUAACCUAGAGUAUGGGAGGGGGAGAUGGAAUUAGUGGUGUAGGGGUAAAAUCCGUAGAUAUCACUAGGAAUACCGAAAGCGAAGGCGAUCUCCUGGAACAUAACUGACGCUAAGGCGUGAAAGCGUGGGGAGCAAACAGGAUUAGAAACCCUAGAGUCC
rnacentral:rRNA from 1 species